rnacentral:rRNA from 1 species
GUAGGUGGCAAGCGUUGUCCGGAAUUAUUGGGCGUAAAGCGCGCGCAGGCGGUUCUUUAAGUCUGAUGUGAAAGCCCACGGGCUCAACCGUGGAGGGUCAUUGGAAACUGGAGAACUUGAGUACAGAAGAGGAAAGCGGAAUUCCACGUGUAGCGGUGAAAUGCGUUGAGAUGUGGAGGAACACCAGUGGCGAAGGCGGCUUUCUGGUCUGUAACUGACGCUGAGGCGCGAAAGCGUGGGGAGCAAACAGGAUUAGAUACCCUGGUAGUCCACGCCGUAAACGAUGAGUGCUAAGUGUUAGGGGGUUUCCGCCCCUUAGUGCUGCAGCUAACGCAUUAAGCACUCCGCCUGGGGAGUACGGCCGCAAGGCUG